AUUGAACGCUGGCGGCAUGCCUUACACAUGCAAGUCGAACGGUAACGCGGGGCAACCUGGCGACGAGUGGCGAACGGGUGAGUAAUGCAUCGGAACGUGCCCAGUAGUGGGGGAUAGCCCGGCGAAAGCCGGAUUAAUACCGCAUACGACCUACGGGUGAAAGGGGGGGAUCGCAAGACCUCUCGCUAUUGGAGCGGCCGAUGUCAGAUUAGGUAGUUGGUGGGGUAAAGGCCCACCAAGCCGACGAUCUGUAGCUGGUCUGAGAGGACGACCAGCCACACUGGGACUGAGACACGGCCCAGACUCCUACGGGAGGCAGCAGUGGGGAAUUUUGGACAAUGGGCGCAAGCCUGAUCCAGCCAUGCCGCGUGCGGGAAGAAGGCCUUCGGGUUGUAAACCGCUUUUGUCAGGGAAGAAAUCUUUUGAGUUAAUACCUCGGAAGGAUGACGGUACCUGAAGAAUAAGCACCGGCUAACUACGUGCCAGCAGCCGCCGUAA
rnacentral:rRNA from 1 species